GCGAGCCACAGUGGUAUAAAGCAUGGACUCUGGAGCAUGUGAACGUACACCUCAAACUGGCUCAUUACCUCAGAACCAUAAAAGCAAAGAAUACAAAUGUGUUUGAUUUACUUCAACUAAUAUGAGAAUUGUGGAUAGCUCCAGUAUGAUAAUGAAUAUGAAUGGUAAUGAAGUCAAUAGCUUGAUUGCUCCUUCUUUGGAUUCAAUUUUAAAGGACUCGUGUCUGCUUUUAAACAUUUUAAGUCAAGCUCAAUUAUUAAAGCAGAUGCUGACCAUUCAGAAACUGUCAGAUGGAAACUUCUUAAAGAAACACUACUCACCCCAUGGUGAGCCCAAGUCCUCCAGAGGUGGAAAUUUCUGGAACAAUG